UGACAAGAUGGCGCCAGUGUGUGUGGCCCGCGGUCUGUCCCUCCGUGUUCUAAGUGUUUUACUGUUGAUUUUAUGCACUAUUACAGUGGAUGUCAGUUCCCUAUUGACUUAUGAUCGCCAGACCUUGCUUGAUCUGCGACCUUCUUUUGAAAAUCUGUUAAAACCACGACACAAUCCAGGCCAAAGAGCGUGCCCCCCUCUCCUCUCUGGAAUACCGCCUUACCUGCUUCGUGGGCCCGCUGCACCUUUACGCAGAAGCCGCAGACGCCGCCGAGGGAAGCGAAGUGGAAGACUGGUUCGAUUAAGGGGCUGUUUCGCGGCCUCUCCCACUCCACCGUCGUCUUUCAUGGGACAUAUUGAUCCGCCACUUCGCCGCUUUGUCCCGUGGCGCUCCCGGGACCCUAUCCACCGAUGUCUUGUUCCAGUGGCUGGCUCGGAUGAAGGGGGAUUCCUACGCCCUCCCCGCUUUCGCCUGUCCGAGCGCGGCGUGAAUUUCCACAACCUGCGGCCGUUGGAUCGUACGCCAAAUCCGACUCCGCUGCCCGCUGCCUCGGCCAGGAUAGGCCUUGUGAAUGCCUGCUCGGUGGUCCACAAAACUUUCAUUCUAAAGGACUUCUUCAUGUCAAACGAUCUGGAUUUCCUCUUCAUCACGGAGACCAAGCUGCUCGUUGACAAAGCAGGAUUUGGCUACAGAGGAGAAGCAGGGCUACAAGUUGUCUUCCCUCACUGGCACAGCAGUCGUCUGAUACAUGACCACCACCCCCAGACAUAUAAAGAAAGAAGGUCAAAAUCUAAAUGAGGUGUCUCAUGUUCACUGUGAGGAUCUUCUGAGUGAAGCCAGCAGAAGGAAAACCUCAUCUGGUUGUGAAGAAG
ensembl:lncRNA